GGGUUGUGAGGUUAAGCGACUAAGCGUACACGGUGGAUGCCCUGGCAGUCAGAGGCGAUGAAGGACGUGCUAAUCUGCGAUAAGCGCCGGUAAGGUGAUAUGAACCGUUAUAACCGGCGAUUUCCGAAUGGGGAAACCCAGUGUGAUUCGUCACACUAUCAUUAACUGAAUCCAUAGGUUAAUGAGGCGAACCGGGGGAACUGAAACAUCUAAGUACCCCGAGGAAAAGAAAUCAACCGAGAUUCCCCCAGUAGCGGCGAGCGAACGGGGAGGAGCCCAGAGCCUGAAUCAGCAUGUGUGUUAGUGGAAGCGUCUGGAAAGGCGCGCGAUACAGGGUGACAGCCCCGUACACAAAAGCGCAUGUGCUGUGAGCUCGAUGAGUAGGGCGGGACACGUGGUAUCCUGUCUGAAUAUGGGGGGACCAUCCUCCAAGGCUAAAUACUCCUGACUGACCGAUAGUGAACCAGUACCGUGAGGGAAAGGCGAAAAGAACCCCGGCGAGGGGAGUGAAAAAGAACCUGAAACCGUGUACGUACAAGCAGUGGGAGCACCCUUCGGGGUGUGACUGCGUACCUUUUGUAUAAUGGGUCAGCGACUUAUAUUCUGUAGCAAGGUUAACCGAAUAGGGGAGCCGGAGGGAAACCGAGUCUUAAU
rnacentral:rRNA from 2 species